CGGGGAGUAGUGUAAUGGCAGCCCACCGGGCUGGGGGUCCGGUAGCCCGGGUCCGAUUCCCGGCUCCCCGA
rfam:Candidatus Levybacteria bacterium RIFCSPHIGHO2_02_FTLL_37_13 rifcsphigho2_02_scaffold_2282, whole genome shotgun sequence.